AGCCCCGGCACCCUUUMUGGGUGCGUCUCCAAAUUUGCAUUUUGG
rnacentral:tRNA from 1 species